rnacentral:rRNA from 1 species
UACGUAGGGUGCGAGCGUUGUCCGGAAUUAUUGGGCGUAAAGAGCUCGUAGGCGGUCUGUCGCGUCUGCUGUGAAAACUCAGGGCUUAACCCUGAGCUUGCAGUGGGUACGGGCAGACUAGAGUGCGGUAGGGGAGACUGGGAAUUCCUGGUGUAGCGGUGAAAUGCGCAGAUAUCAGGAGGAACCACCGGUGGCGAAGGCGGGUCUC